UACGUAGGGGGCGAGCGUUGUCCGGAUUUAUUGGGCGUAAAGAGCGUGUAGGCGGCCAGGUAGGUCUGCUGUGAAAACUCGAGGCUCAACCUCGAGACGUCGGCGGAAACCAUCUGGCUAGAGUCCGGAAGAGGAGAGUGGAAUUCCUGGUGUAGCGGUGAAAUGCGCAGAUAUCAGGAAGAACAUCCGUGGCGAAGGCGGCUCUCUGGGACGGUACUGACGCUGAGACGCGAAAGCGUGGGGAGCGAACAGG
rnacentral:rRNA from 1 species